UCUUCUUCAUUCUUCUAGAGAGACCGACGACACCCCCCUCUCUUUCGAAAAUCUCUUCGCAGCUGACCAAAGAGCCGCCACCAUUUAGUCUCUUCUCAACCAUCAAAACCAGCAGCCGCCCGAUGUUCGUUUAUGCGCUACCCAUUACUGAUUUUUGAGCUCCAGACGUCGGGUUCGUUGAGCCACACACCGACCAGCCGCCGCCCAACCGUCGAACACCACAUUGGUUGCUACUUUGCGUUGUGCUGGGCCACCCUCUGUCAUUGCUAGCCUCACCGAAUUUAGAAGUUGAGGCUAAAUCGAAGUGGGGAAAGCGUAAAAUCCCGGGGGAUCGAGUAAUUGAUUGUAGUGAACCAAGAACCAGGCAUUGGUUGAGCUUCCCGUCACUGAUUGUAGAUUUUCAUUCUUUUUGGAUGUUUUUACUUCAAGUUUGUAUUUGUAUAAUGGGGUGCUUAGAAGUAAUGAGGGUCACGCCAAGGUCAUGUGUUUUGAGACACUUUCAAACUGUAAUUAUUUCUUGGCUAGUAUCUAGUCUGAUCAUGAGCUCUGACUGAAUUUCUGA